rnacentral:rRNA from 1 species
AUUGAACGCUGGCGGCAGGCCUAACACAUGCAAGUCGAGCGGUAGCACAGAGAGCUUGCUCUCGGGUGACGAGCGGCGGACGGGUGAGUAAUGUCUGGGAAACUGCCUGAUGGAGGGGGAUAACUACUGGAAACGGUAGCUAAUACCGCAUAAUGUCGCAAGACCAAAGUGGGGGACCUUCGGGCCUCAUGCCAUCAGAUGUGCCCAGAUGGGAUUAGCUGGUAGGUGGGGUAACGGCUCACCUAGGCGACGAUCCCUAGCUGGUCUGAGAGGAUGACCAGCCACACUGGAACUGAGACACGGUCCAGACUCCUACGGGAGGCAGCAGUGGGGAAUAUUGCACAAUGGGCGCAAGCCUGAUGCAGCCAUGCCGCGUGUGUGAAGAAGGCCUUCGGGUUGUAAAGCACUUUCAGCGGGGAGGAAGGCGAUAAGGUUAAUAACCUCAUCGAUUGACGUUACCCGCAGAAGAAGCACCGGCUAACUCCGUGCCAGCAGCCGCGGUAAUACGGAGGGUGCAAGCGUUAAUCGGAAUUACUGGGCGUAAAGCGCACGCAGGCGGUCUGUCAAGUCGGAUGUGAAAUCCCCGGGCUCAACCUGGGAACUGCAUUCGAAACUGGCAGGCUAGAGUCUUGUAGAGGGGGGUAGAAUUCCAGGUGUAGCGGUGAAAUGCGUAGAGAUCUGGAGGAAUACCGGUGGCGAACGCGGCCCCCUGGACAAAGACUGACGCUCAGGUGCGAAAGCGUGGGGAGCAAACAGGAUUAGAUACCCUGGUAGUCCACGCCGUAAACGAUGUCGAUUUGGAGGUUGUGCCCUUGAGGCGUGGCUUCCGGAGCUAACGCGUUAAAUCGACCGCCUGGGGAGUACGGCCGCAAGGUUAAAACUCAAAUGAAUUGACGGGGGCCCGCACAAGCGGUGGAGCAUGUGGUUUAAUUCGAUGCAACGCGAAGAACCUUACCUGGUCUUGACAUCCACAGAACUUUCCAGAGAUGGAUUGGUGCCUUCGGGAACUGUGAGACAGGUGCUGCAUGGCUGUCGUCAGCUCGUGUUGUGAAAUGUUGGGUUAAGUCCCGCAACGAGCGCAACCCUUAUCCUUUGUUGCCAGCGGUUAGGCCGGGAACUCAAAGGAGACUUCCAGUGAUAAACUGGAGGAAGGUGGGGAUGACGUCAAGUCAUCAUGGCCCUUACGACCAGGGCUACACACGUGCUACAAUGGCAUAUACAAAGAGAAGCGACCUCGCGAGAGCAAGCGGACCUCAUAAAGUAUGUCGUAGUCCGGAUUGGAGUCUGCAACUCGACUCCAUGAAGUCGGAAUCGCUAGUAAUCGUAGAUCAGAAUGCUACGGUGAAUACGUUCCCGGGCCUUGUACACACCGCCCGUCACACCAUGGGAGUGGGUUGCAAAAGAAGUAGGUAGCUUAACCUUCGGGAGGGCGCUUACCACUUUGUGAUUCAUGACUGGGGUGA